AUACGGAGGGUCCAAGCGUUAUCCGGAUUUAUUGGGUUUAAAGGGUCCGUAGGCGGGAAAAUAAGUCAGUGGUGAAAGCCUGCAGCUCAACUGCAGAACUGCCAUUGAAACUGUUUUUCUUGAGUAUAGAUGAAGUGGGCGGAAUGUAUCAUGUAGCGGUGAAAUGCAUAGAUAUGAUACAGAACACCGAUUGCGAAGGCAGCUCACUAAACUAUUACUGACGCUGAGGGACGAAAGCGUGGGGAGCGAACAGGAUUAGAUACCCUAGUAGUCC
rnacentral:rRNA from 1 species